AUUGAACGCUGGCGGCAUGCCUUACACAUGCAAGUCGAACGGCAGCACGGGUGCUUGCACCUGGUGGCGAGUGGCGAACGGGUGAGUAAUACAUCGGAACAUGUCCUGUAGUGGGGGAUAGCCCGGCGAAAGCCGGAUUAAUACCGCAUACGAUCUACGGAUGAAAGCGGGGGACCUUCGGGCCUCGCGCUAUAGGGUUGGCCGAUGGCUGAUUAGCUAGUUGGUGGGGUAAAGGCCUACCAAGGCGACGAUCAGGAGCUGGUCUGAGAGGACGACCAGCCACACUGGGACUGAGACACGGCCCAGACUCCUACGGGAGGCAGCAGUGGGGAAUUUUGGACAAUGGGCGAAAGCCUGAUCCAGCAAUGCCGCGUGUGUGAAGAAGGCCUUCGGGUUGUAAAGCACUUUUGUCCGGAAAGAAAUCCUUGGCCCUAAUACGGUCGGGGGAUGACGGUACCGGAAGAAUAAGCACCGGCUAACUACGU
rnacentral:rRNA from 1 species